ACCAUCUCUGCUCUGCCUCUCGAGUCCGAGUCCCCGCAGCCGUCUCUCACGCCGAGCCCCUCUCUCACGCCGUCAACAGCCCCUCGCCGUCGACACUGUUAUUCCGUUCUGUUCUCCUCCGCUUCCAGUUGUUCCCGAGGCUACAGAAUCACAGAUAUUGUUUUCCCCUCUCUCGGCGAGCUAAUCGGUCAGGAAUAAAAUGGGUCUACUUUCUCAGAGAAACCUCCUUGCAUUUGCACUCCGAAAUCGAAAUGUUGUCGCAGAAGCACAACCAUCAAGACUUCUUUUUGUUUAUGCCAAAUCCUUCAGCUUUUGCACCUCGCAGACUUCAAAACAGAAUGAAGAGCUCACAAUCGAAGAAAUCUCCGCCUUUCUCAAGCAAAGCAACUGGCAGUACCUCAUGGAAUCGUCAAAUAUACCCAAGAAGCUGAACCCAGAGGUGGUUCGGUCUGUUCUUCAACAUAACUGGGUGAGUGACCCCAAACGCCUCCUUCAUUUUUUUGAUUGGUCCGCUUCUUUGAUGGGCGUUCCUCAAAAUCAGUAUUCUUUCUCGAUUCUUGCAAUUGCUCUAUGUAAUUCGAGGCUUUUCGCCCAUGCUAAUGGCGUCUUAGAGCGAAUGGUGGGAACCCGGAAGCCGCCGUUGGAAAUUCUUGAUUCCAUUGUUACUUUCUUUGUAGAAUGUGGUGGGUCUAAUGUGGUAGUUUUUGAGAUUUUGGUGAAUGCUUAUAGGAAAGUGGGGAUGUUGAAUGAGGCUGCUAGCGUGUUUUUGGGAAUUAAAAAUGAUGGGUUUUUGCCUACUUUGGUGUUUUGUAAUUCUUUGUUGAAGGACUUGGCAAAGUGUAAUAGGAUGGAGUUGUUUUGGAAGGUUUAUGAUCGGAUGUUAGAGGCUAAGAUGAGUCCGGAUGUUUAUACUUAUUCUACUGUGAUAAAUGCGCAUUGUAAGGUUGGGAAUGUUGAAGAGGGUAGGAGGGUGCUAUUUGGUAUGGAGGAGAAGGGCUGUAGUCCUAAUUUGGUUACCUACAAUGUGGUGAUUGGCGGAUUGUGCAAACAUGGGGCUGUUGAUGAGGCUCUUGAGUUGAAGAAGUUCAUGGCUGGGAAGGGGUUGAUCCCAGAUGCCUAUACUUACUCUAUGCUUGUUGAUGGGUUUUGCAAACAGAAAAGGUCAGAAGAAGCAAAGUCGAUAUUGGAAGAGAUGUUUGGUAUGGGUUUACGUCCUGAUCACAUUACCUACACUGCUUUGGUUGAUGGGUUCAUGAAACAAGGUAAGGUAGAAGAUGCCUUGAGAAUCAAAGAUGAGAUGGUUGCCCGUGGAGUAAGCUUAACUUUGGUAACAUAUAAUGUACUUGUCGGUGGGUUUUGUAAGGUUGGUGAGAUGACGAAGGCCAAAGCUCUCAUCAAUGAGAUGAGUGUGAUGGGAAUAAAACCAGAUAGUUAUACUUUUAACUCUUUAAUUAGUGGUUAUUACAAAAAGAAAAAUAUGGUUGAGGCUUAUCAACUUCUUCUUGAGAUGAAGAAGUGGAACUUGGCACCCACAAUAUUCACUUAUGGUGUGAUAAUAAAUGGCCUAUGCCAUUGUGGAGAUCUGCAAGCAGCUAAUGGUGUUUUGGAGCAGAUGAUUGCAGGGGGUUUGAAACCAAAUGCUGUUCUAUUCUCAACUCUAAUCAAAGGUCAUGUACAACAAAGUAGAUUUGACGAGGCAAUAACGAUAUUAAAAGGAAUGGAGGAAAAGGGCGUUCUGCCUGACAUGUUUUGUUAUAAUUCUCUUAUAAUUGGCCUCUGCAAGGCCAAAAAAAUGAAAGAUGCUGAGAAUUUCUUGGUUGAAAUGAUCGAGAGGGGUCUUAAACCUAAUGAAUAUACAUAUGGGACUUUCAUCGAUGGAUAUGCUAAGGCGGGGAAUAUGCAAUUAGCAUACGGUUAUUUCAUAGAAAUGCUAGGUUGGGGUAUAGCGCCCAAUGGUUUGAUCUGCACGGCCUUGAUUGAUGGGCACUUUAAAGAUGGUAACGUAACUGGAGCUCUUUCUGCAUUUCAAUUAUUACUUGGACAAAGGGUCAUCCCAGAUAUCCAGACUUAUAGUGUUCUCAUCCAUGGUCUUUCUAUGAAUGGAAAAAUUGAGGAAGCAAUGGAGGUUUUAUCUGAAGUCCUUGACAAGGGUCUGGUGCCAGAUGUUUUUACCUACACCUCUCUCAUUUCUGGAUCCUGUAAGCAAGGUGAUUUAGACAGAGCUUUUCAACUCUAUGAUGAGAUGUGCCAGAAAGGCAUCACUCCAAACAUUGUUACUUAUAACUCCUUGAUCAAUGGACUUUGCAAGUCGGGUGACAUUGAGAGAGCUAGGGAACUGUUUGAUGGAAUCUCAAGAAAGGGUUUGGCUAAGAAUGGUGUGACCUAUGCUACGAUUAUAGAUGGAUACUGCAAAUCUGGAAAUUUAGUUGAGGCAUUUCAAUUAAUGGAUGAGAUGCCAUCUAUGGGGGUUCCACCUGAUUGUUUCAUCUAUUGUGCCCUUGUUGAUGGGUGCUGCAAAGCAGGAAACAUGGAGAAGGCCCUUUCCUUAUUUCAUGAGAUGGUGCAGAAGGGCUUUGCUUCCACACCUUCUUUUAAUGCUUUGAUUGAUGGCUUCUCCAAGUCCGGGAAAUUGGAUGAAGCUAACCAAUUGUUUGAAGACAUUGUUGAUAAGCAUGUGACCCCAGAUGAUGUGACCUACACAAUUCUGAUCAAUUCGCACUGCAAGGCUGGAUUAAUGAAGGAAGCUGAGAAGCUCUUUCUGGAGAUCAAAAAAAGAAAUCUCAAGCCAAAUAUUUUAACUUACACUGCACUCCUGCAUGGGUACAACAACAUAGGGAGCAGAGAUAAGAUGUGUGCUCUUUUCGAUGAAAUGGUGGCAGCGGGGAUUGACCCUGAUGAAGAAACAUAUGGCAUGCUCGAGAGAAUUCCGUUGAUAUCUGAGGCUGCAAAUACAGAGAGGCCAUCUUCAAUCACAACUAGCCUUUUCAUUGGUGGGGCGCUGGCUGCAAGAUCUGAUAUCUGACAAUGAAGAUACAAAUAUUAGUAGUAUCUUUGAAGAAGCUUCUGAUUCUAUUGAUCAUGUUGAACAAAUAGGUAGAAGUGCCACCUUGGUGAUGGCGUACUUAAUGCUCAGGAAGAACCUAACUCUACUAAAACGAGUUCACCACUGAGCCCAGCGCAAUGAUGGCUUUGCUAGGAUCCUUUUGGAUCUGGAUAGGAAAUUACAUGGGACACAGCAUCCAUGGAAUGGCGACAACGAAAGCCAAUGAUGAAAGUUUGCCCCAUUUGUGGGAAGAAGGCCGGUCUGAGCAGCAGUUCACUUAAGCUUCAUUCGCAGAAAUCACACAAGAAUCUUUAAUCAGGAAGUGUGGACAGUGGCAUGACCAUGGAAAUACAAAAGUCUUUGACAGCACUCAAACGGGGUCUGCCCGAGUCGAAACUGCUCCCUCGCCUGCGUCGAUUGUGCUCUGCCCACCGCCUCCAGCGACACCAUCUCUUUCCAGCGACACCGAGGCCGUCUGCACAGCUUCGCCACACCCCUUGUCGCCCAGCUUUCCUCCCUCCCCAUUGCCAGCCCAUCUCCUUUUCUUCCUCUCCCCACCCCUCGCAUCUCCCCCCACCCGCGCCAGUGUACCGGAUUCACUAAACGCCCAGCCCUCGUCCCACAGCUCUCCUCCCUCCCUGUUGCCCUCAUCGUCCCAGAAUUGAUAUCAACGAUCCCUAGAGUCCCUGCUUCAGAAUCGACAUCAAUGAAUCUACAUCUUGGCAGCCAGGUCCGCUUUAUCUGAAACUCCUCACAAAGCAUCACCAGCAACUCCAAGAGUUGCUAGACCAAGCAGGGGAGUAGCUAAAUCAUAAUCUGAUUCACCCUCUCCUUUGCAAAGUUCACGCCUUUCAGUUGAUCGGUCUCCACGAUCAGUUCCCUUGAAGCCCACCAUAAGAUCACCAAAACUUGCUACCCCACCUGAAGUCACUGCAAUUGAAAUUAAUAACCUUUUUCGCGAAGACCUCUUCCUUGCCAAGGUUGGGAUGGAGUGCGGCAUCGGGAUUUUGCAACGUCAUUUUCAAGAUUGUAAGGGAAUCACAACAUGAAGCUUUUGCAGCUCUUCAUCACAGCAUCAAUUCCAGUCUUGAAACUGCUCUUGAUUUCUGGACUUAGGGUUUAUGCCAAUCAGAAGAAGAUAAACUAAUAGAAAGAGAGAAUGAUCUUCACAAGCUUGAGGACGAACUUUGAAAGCGGAUAGUAGAGAAUAAAUGUGCACAUAUAUUAUUGUGUUUGUACUAAGUUUUAUUUAUUGUAAUGGUUUCUAGUUGGUUCAGACUAUUUCUGGUUGGUUUUAUCAUCAAUGUGUACUUUAUCUAUUGCUGAAGAUGAAUUUAGUUCCUUUUUUUCUCUC